rnacentral:misc_RNA from 1 species
ACUUUCUAACCCUGUGCAUUUGUUUGGGGUACUAGCCUCUCGGGGCGAAUCCCUAUUCCCUUAUAAACACAAAGUCUAUGAAUGUAUUUAAUUUUAUACCAAAAUAAAACUUUCAAAAACGGAUCUCUUGGCUCUCGCAUC